GGAGUGAGGACGGGCUGCAGGGACCGCUCGUUAACUUUAAACAGAGCAAAGAGCAAUGUUAUGUAAGCAAAAAAAUGAAUGAAUGUAUGUGGAGAUAGCAAAGGAACUACAAUUCAGGACAAGGAACCUAUGGCGAAGCCCAAGAGACGAAGAGAAGCCUUUCUCUUCAUGGACCUCACAAAAAUGAAGCCCUGUUCCCAAGGGGAAGCCAUUAUCUACUGAUGGCCCAGGUAUCUCAGAUUCUUCAAGACCAUGGGCAUGAUGUGAUCUUACUUCAACAGAAUGGACUUUCAUUCACAUUAGAUCACAUGGAUUUCUGAGACCAGGUGAAGAACUCUCUGAUGUUCUUCAUUUCAACCUUGAGCAAAUGGUAUAUAUUCAUACUCAGUUUGAUGACACUAUCAAGGAACAUUUCCCAGAAGGCUCUAGGCCAGAGCUAUUUCAUCUUCAACUGAAAGCAGAGCUGGGGUUUGUUAGUUUUGGCUUUGGCUUUGUCUUUGCCUUUGCCUGGCCACAGCUUCCCAACACUGUGUAUGUUGGACACUUAAUGGCCAAACCUGAUGAGCCAAUA